rnacentral:rRNA from 1 species
AUUGAACGCUGGCGGCAGGCCUAACACAUGCAAGUCGAGCGGAGCGGCGGACGGGUGAGUAAUGCCUAGGAAUCUGCCGGGUAGUGGGGGAGAGCGACAGGAAACGGGCGAUAAUAACGACUAAUCACAGAUGAGCCUAGGUAGGAUUAGCUCUGUGGUGGGGAACAGGCCUACCAAGGCGACGGUCAGUAACUGGUCUGAGAGGAUGAUCAGGAACACUGGAAAUGAGACCGGUUCCAGACCACGACUGGAGGAAGCAGUGGGGAACAUGGGAAAAUGGGCGAAAGCCUGAGCCAUCCAUGCAGCGUGUGUGAAGAAGGUCUUCGGAUUGUAAAUCACUUUAAUUUGGGAGGCGUUACCAACAGAAGAAGCACCGGCUAACUUCGUGCCAGCAGCCGCGGUAAUAC